rnacentral:rRNA from 1 species
AACGAACGCUGGCGGCAUGCCUAACACAUGCAAGUCGAACGGGUACCUUCGGGUGCUAGUGGCGCACGGGUGCGUAACGCGUGGGAAUCUGCCCUUGGGUUCGGAAUAACUCAGCGAAAGCUGUGCUAAUACCGGAUGAUGUCGAAAGACCAAAGAUUUAUCGCCCGAGGAUGAGCCCGCGUUGGAUUAGCUAGUUGGUGGGGUAAAGGCCUACCAAGGCGACGAUCCAUAGCUGGUCUGAGAGGAUGAUCAGCCACACUGGGACUGAGACACGGCCCAGACUCCUACGGGAGGCAGCAGUGGGGAAUAUUGGACAAUGGGCGAAAGCCUGAUCCAGCAAUGCCGCGUGAGUGAUGAAGGCCUUAGGGUUGUAAAGCUCUUUUACCCGGGAUGAUAAUGACAGUACCGGGAGAAUAAGCACCGGCUAACUCCGUG